UAGAUAUGAGUAACAUAUAAAUAUAUUAGGAUAUUUUAAAUUAUCUUUCAUAAUGACUACGAUGGAUAGUUAAGGUAUAAAUUAAGAGCAUUACUUUAAAUUGUCAUUCAUAAUUUUAGAUGUGGUUUGUUUAGAUGCAAAUUUAAGGAUUAUGUUGAAUUAUCUUCAAUGAACAAAAAAAAACAAAAGUACAGGAAAAAUGUCAAACAAUAAGUUAAUUGUUUUGGCGC
rnacentral:lncRNA from 1 species